AUAGAAAUCACAUAGAGGGUCUUUUUGAAAUGCAGCUUAUGAUUCAGUAGGUCUGGGUUGAGGUAUGAGAUUGCACUUCUAGCAAGCUCCCAGGUGAUGCUGAU
rnacentral:pre_miRNA from 1 species